AUUGAACGCUCGCGGCAUGCCUUACACAUGCAAGUCGAACGGUAACAGGUCUUCGGAUGCUGACGAGUGGCGAACGGGUGAGUAAUACAUCGGAACGUGCCCGAUCGUGGGGGAUAACGAGGCGAAAGCUUUGCUAAUACCGCAUACGAUCUACGGAUGAAAGCGGGGGAUCUUCGGACCUCGCGCGGACGGAGCGGCCGAUGGCAGAUUAGGUAGUUGGUGGGAUAAAAGCUUACCAAGCCGACGAUCUGUAGCUGGUCUGAGAGGAUGAUCAGCCACACUGGGACUGAGACACGGCCCAGACUCCUACGGGAGGCAGCAGUGGGGAAUUUUGGACAAUGGGCGAAAGCCUGAUCCAGCCAUGCCGCGUGCAGGAUGAAGGCCUUUGGGUUGUAAACUGCUUUUGUACGGAACGAAAAGCCUCUUUCUAAUAAAGAGGGGUCAUGACGGUACCGUAAGAAUAAGCACCGGCUAACUACGUG
rnacentral:rRNA from 1 species